CAUUACGCGAUGAAAUAAAUCGUCAUACAUCGACGGAAUCCUCCGUGAGAUGGAUCUCGUAUCCAUUAUGAAACAAUCAUUCAUUAAUACUCCCGACGCGUGCUUCGUCUCUUAUUAGACUGUGUUAGACGCGGGUUAAACUAGCGACUUUUAUAGCUCCGAAAUUUAGAUUAAAGGAGCUCACAAAGCGCUAGUACUAGUCCGAUUGACAAUAUCAUGUCACAACAUGUGUUUGGGAAGCGACACAUUCCUACUACGGACAUCGCCUACCUCAUAAAUGAUGACAUCCAAGCGGUCAACCCGAAAACAAACAAAAUCGACAGUUAUUACAGCUGAAAAAGAACACUGAUUGUAUAGAGAUUGAAAACUUGCCUUAUACUACAAAACAAAUGAUGUUAGCCGGGACUCGUGCAUAACACAAGCGUUCUGGUUGAACGAGAAAAACAAACACUUCAUAUGAUGACAUUCCCCGGAACAAGACGGUAACGAAGGUGCGUCAUGUGAAUCAUGUCGGACGUUACAUACAACGCUUUUUAUAAGGUCCUAUGCAGACAAAGAAUUGCACAGCAAAAAUUGAAAACUUGUUUUUAUCAUAAGAAAUACAAUCAAAUAACAUCACUAGUAAAAAGGUAAAAUACAUGUAGUGUGUAAGAUUUAUAUUUUGCAUGGUUUACACAACCAGCUUCAAUUCCAAACCAGUCUUAAACAAUUUAAUACUGAUAGCACACGAUGAUUCUAAAUUAGAAUAAUUUUCAUGUAAAAUUAGUUUUUCAGAACGUGUUUUAAUUAGUAAAUCAAUAAUAAUUCAAUUCUUCUUCUUAUACAGCACUAAUUCUAAAUAGAAGAGUUUGUGCCGGCAUAUUGUAUAUAUUAAACAUAUCCUAAAGAUUCGCAUUUGAAUAACAUCACGUUAUCAAUUAUAAUCAACGAUUUCUUUAUCAAUUUUAAGUAGGAUCCUCACGCAAAAUAUAAAAAUAAUCAUUUUAUUUUCACAAAAAACUUUACGCAAGUAUAUCAUAAUAAU